GGGGGGGGGGGUGGGAAGUAACAAAACGAAAAGUGCCUCAAAGAGUUAACAAAAGGGGAGAACAAAAACCAACUGAGAAAAAAAAUCACACCAAUAAUUAUAACAAAAAAAAGUUGUUAAGCGUUAAUGUGGCGACGGCUGCAGAAGAGAUGCGAGACUGAAAGAGAGCGAGAGCGAAAGAGAGAGCAUGAUGGGGAGCCACGCGAGCUGACGCUGAGCAAUGGGCAAUGUGGAACAAACUUAUUAAAAAUAUUGAAGAAUGAGGCAAGCGAGAGAGCACGUCGGGGCAGAGGGGGUGGAGCGCGGGCGCAAUCGAAAUGAAAUGUGACACGCAAGGCAACAAUAAAAACAAACUUCAGGUGCAAAGAGGUGUGCAUGAGUGUGUGCAUGUGUGUGAGAAAGUGAAGGUGCCGGCUAUAAAGUAAGCUUCCAUAAUACAAGAAUCAUAUAAAUAAUAGAAAUAAAACAAAACUGAGUGAGUAUCACGAUAAUUUUAAAUGGAUUCCCGGAAGUUUCCGUUAAAUUUGUUUUGUUGAAAACGAGUUUGACGGCAAAUAAAAGAGUUUAAAAGAGUUAAA